GUUUAUGAACAUGUAUUGGUACUACAACAUACUUUAUUUCAAAAACAAAUCUUCAGUUUCUAAUAUACUCCAACUUGUAGCUAGGUUAGGAGCUUGUCCCCAACCCACUGUCAAUAUCACCUCCCAGGAUAAAGAAAAUGGAGCCAGAGCCAGUGUGUCUAUUCCAGUCUUGCCAUAUGUUCAAUUACAGAGGCAAUAAUACUUUCUGGCACAAUAUGAGAUCGGAUAGAGUCUUUCCAUGCCUAUCGAUUCUCCUUGAGCAGUUCACACCUCCAUCUAGGAUAUUACGAACCACUAUAUUCAUAGAAUGGAUCCCUCUGACUUCAUAAAUCUCCACUUCAACAUGUUCAGUGACCCAUUUGUCUCUUCGUUCAAUAUCAUCAGAAGUGGGAAACGAAGAGGGAUUAAGAAGACAUGAGACAACUUUUUUCACCCAUUCUUGAGUUACAAUCUUCUUAAGCCUUUCAAUAUCUGGAGGAAAAUAUGGGAUAAGGGAAAAGUUUAUAUCAUCUCCUUUAUCACCAGCUCUGCUAUGUGCAAAAUCAUAAAUAGGAAUCUUCCUGUCAUGUGGAGCAGGGGAGAUCAGCUCAAUUUGCGGUGAGCCUUCUUUGUGAUUCAAAGUAGUUUCCGUUGCAAGUGAUUGCAAGACUGAUUCAUGGAAUGAAGUGGUCCG
rnacentral:misc_RNA from 1 species